UGACAGGCUAUUCCUUGCUCUGUACUAGCACUUUCCCUUAGCCCUGGUGCAACAGAGUCUAGCCCUUGUCCUACACCGAGGUGACCCUUCCCUCCCACCAGCACCCCUCCCCGAUCUAUUCUGCCCUCUCUGCUUUCGGUUCCUUGUCCAUAAGGAACCUUUCAUUCUGCGAAGAUCUAAAGCAGUUAAGCGUCAUUAAAAGACCAGGACCCACCGCAUCUGACUGUACCAUUGCAACUGGAGGGAGACAGCAAAACAUGAAUGAGCAGGAGCAAGAAGCUGAAGGAAGUGAAUCUGUCUUGGGCAGAGCGACUCAUUUCCCUGCGAUGUACCUGCCACUCAGCACCAGGCAGCUCGGGGCUUUUCUGUGGUUCCACUUCCUUGAGGUAAUUAUUGUGCCCUAUCUGGCUCUAAAACGAUCCCCGUGUGUUCGUCCAUUUUCUGUGAUUAUAAUAAAAUACCUGAGACUGGGUAAUUUAUAAAGAGUAGAAGUUUAUUUGCUCAUAGGCCUGGAGGCUGUUAAGUUCAAGAGCAGGGUGCCAGCAUCUGCUCAGCAUCUGGUGAGGGCCUUCUGGCUGCUUCUUAACAUAAGGGAGGGUGUCAUCUGCCGAGACAGAGCAAGUGUGCUUGCUGGGUCUCUCUUUCUCUUAUAAAUCCAGGAAAGCCAUCCUGGGGUCUCACCCACGGAGACCUCAGCUGAUCCUAACCACCUCUCACAGCUCCACCUCCAAAUAUUGUCAACAUAAAAGUCUGAAGAUUAAAAUUCCAAGGCAUGAAAUUUGGGGAAAACAUUCAAACCACAGCACCCUGUAUCCUCCAAGAGUGCCUGAGGGGGUGGGGCCCGGAUGAACCGGUGCAGAAGUCAAUCCUAGGCCUUCUAGUGUCUGUGAACUGAAGUGUGGUGCCCCCCACCCCAAAUUCAUACACAGAAACCCUGAGCCCAGUGAAGCUGCAUUUGGAGACAGGGUUGUUAGGAAGUAGUUAAGGUUAAAUGAGGUCAUAAGGAUAGGUAGGACCCUAAUCCAAUAGGGCAGGUGGCAUUAAAAGAAAAGGGAGAGAGAGAUCAUGCUCCCUUUGUGCACCCAGAAGAAAGAUGGCAAGCUUCCAUAGGCCAGGGGACCCCCAGACACCGCAUGGGCCAGCAUCUUGGCCUUGAACUUGCCUGCUUCAGAAACUCUGAGAAAUAAAUGAUGUUCUUUAAGCUACCCAGACUGUGAUAUUGAGUGACAGCAGAUCUGGCAGACCAAUGCACAGACCUCUGAUAAAAGCCAGACCCGGGGUCUUCCCUAUGGCCUGCUACAGCUUCGUGGCCAUCCAUCCCACACUGCCCAGAUGCACCUUGUGGGUCUAAUGGUUUCUUACAUCUGUCAGCCUGCACCUCCAGCAGCAAAUCUAAGCUGAAUUGUCAUAGGACUGAAACUGGGUGGCAGCACAGUUCAAGGUCACGGGAUAGGCAGAUUGCCUCUCAUUAGGAUUCACUCAGGAUCAUGUUCACUUCCUCUGACAAAGGUAGAUUUACUCCAAAGCUUAAGUUUAGGCUUCAGAGGACUACUCAUGCAGGGCCUCUUGCUAAGCCCUGCAUCUAACUUUGCACUCAAUUUGCAGUAAACAUUUCAAAUAGAGGCCCUGCAGAAUUCCUUGUGCCUCUCACCCCUGCAUCCAACAAGUAUCUAUUGUUGCACGUCUUAUGCCAGCCACUGAGCAGGCGGCGGGGAGAUGGGCAUCUCAGCACAGGUAAUUGAGGGUCAGAGUAAGCAGAUGUGCAGAAUUUAAGUAAAAACAACCCAAACAUAUCGUAGUGGGGGCGAGAGGAGAGGAGUUUGUCAUCUCGCAAGGCCUUAGGAGACACAGCAUGAUCCAGUUUGCCCCUUCAUGCCCCCAAAGGCUCUGACAACAGACAUUUUCAACUGAGGGAACAACUGCUAGAUUUCUGGUAAAGUACUCUGCAGUUUGCACGCGCAUCUCUUACAGCAUCCAGGUGGCAGGAGCAUUAUCUCCUUUUAAUGAGAAUACAGAAGCUCAAAGAAGUUCAAUAAUGUGCUCAAGGUGGAGCUAUGCUGACAUCCAAGACCACCAAGUGCAAAGCCCGGGAAGCUUGUAGUUUGCCAGACCUUCUGCCCAUGAGCCCUGGCUGAGCUGGGCUGGGAGUGAGGAAGGAGGGGUGGAGAGGGGGUGGGGACAGGGACGCUCAGCCUCCUGAAUGAUGACACUGCAAUGGCUUAAAUGGCAUUCUUGCCUGGCUGCUACCUAGGACCCAAUUUCAAAGGUACCACGGUACAUGGUGGCAGAGUGUGUGCAGGGCUGUGGACUCACCCCACUCUGAGUGCUGUGUCCUCUGGCUCUCAAAGGGCUUUGAGUACCUGAAUCCCACCCCCGACACCCCCAGCUAUCGGUUCCUCUUUGGACUUCUAAUGCUAUGAGGAAAAGAAAUCAUUCACAUUUUGAAAAUUUUGGAACUGAGUUAAUUAUACUCGGCUACCAAAUCUUCACCCUGCAUAGCCCUUAUGUAAGUUCCUCAUGGAGCUUUUCUUAUUCAGGGAAAGGAGUAGACGUAUUUAUGUGUGUGUGUGUACAUACACGUAUGUGUGUGUACAUAUAUAUGUCACAGCGCUCCCUCUCCUUUGGCUACGAGGGUAACAAGGAGCAUAGUAUGACAUACUGUUUUUUCUCCUUUUAUCUUCUGAAAAGACCAACCAGAAAUCCAAUGUUAAAAAAGCUAAUGUGAUACUAAGUUUGCAAAUUUAAACUAGGAGUUCUACAGUCAGACAUGCAAAAGUUUCCAUAGCAACAUUAGCUCUCAUCUUUAGGAUUUUCAGUCCUAUUAAAGCCAUUAAAAUCGUACUUUUAUAUAUACCAGCGUACAUGCCGUGUGGUUGAAUUCUGGGUUGAGGCUUACUUUUCACAUUUUAAUUAUAAACGGUGCCUAUUAUGGGUCCGUCCGUGUGUUUCAUGAGAGCACCUUUGCUAAGUGGAUGGUAUUAGGCAGCAGGUGGAUUUCUUUUGUUCUUCCCUCAGUCUUGGCCUCAUUUAUGUUCCAUUUCCUCAGCACUCUGGAUGCUAAAGGUGGCAAGGACACUGAUGUCGGGCUGACAUGAACUACACAAGGAUCCCACCUUGCUAGGAUUACGGUGCCACCCCCAGGUAGACUACAAACCAGUUUCACCUGAGGGGCGAGCUCAGGAGGGCGGGGCAGAGACGAAGCAAACGUUCUCCCAGAGUCUCCAUCCACCAACACAUUUACCUGGGGACCACCGCCCCCCACCUCCAGUGGGUAUCCUAACACUGUUACACCUCCAAAGGAAACUACUGGCUUUGACAGUGGCCACAGACAGAGGCAGCUACAGGAAGUGUGUGUGUGUGUGUGUGUGUGUGUGUGUGUGUUUCCUCAAUUAAGUCCUAGUGGAGGACCUAGUAAAAUCCUGGGUCAGCUGAAAAGGGUAGCUGUACUCAAUAUUUUUCAAGUCCUCCGUACACCCCCAAUCAACAAUUCAUGGGUGGGGGUGCUAAUAACUAGAUUCUCGCUAGCUAUGUGGAUGAAGUCUUUUUUUUUUCUUCCCAAAAAAAGGGUGAAGCAGAUGGGGACAGCAAGAAUGCUGGAAGAUUUUGGAGAGUCCCCCCCAUGUGCCAAGGUGUUGGACAUUUGUGGAUAUCUGGAGCCAGCCCGGGGGGAGGGGAAAGAAAUAUUUCUUGAACGCGCUGCUCUGCUCGUCUGAAAUAGCAUCUCGGUGCCCUAAACAUGCAGAAACCCUGAAUGAAACACACGAGUGGAAGUGGCAGAAGGCUUAAAGUAAAGCCAGCCUGCAGUGAUCAGAGCUAUUUUUAGGUUUCUAAUGAAGAAAGCAGCUGUAUUCAGAAAGGCUGUCACCCACUGCCUGUGAGACCAAUUUGCUCUGUUCCGGGGUUCCAGCGUUCAUCGGCUGUAAACACCUCCUCUGGGACCCUCGGAAAGGGACCCCAAACAGUAAUUACUGUGGGUUUGGGGUGAUCUAUAUUAUUUAUUUAUUUUUUAGGAGUUUAGAGAAGGAUCUUGGUUAACAGACCUACUAGAAUCAGGAAAUAAUAUGCUAAAUAAUAAGCCAUUCUGGAACCAGCCUGGUCCCCUACAAAGCAGCUGUGUGAUCCUGGAGGAGCUCACGACCAACUCCAGCCUGCUCUUGCUGUGACCUUCGAGGCUGUCUCGGGGUCUCUUUUAUUCUCUUUCAGCCAAACCUCGAAGCAAGAAUAUAGAAGCCCGAAGACGACAUUCCCCGGGAACAGAAAGGCAAGCACAGAAGUGUGACCCACUUUUAGAAACAAGAGCGAGUGAAAGAGGAUGAUUCACUGUUGUGUGCAGAGGCACCGAAAAGUCUAGGUGUGUGAGCGAGAAAGCUGUCACCCUCUCCUGACAAAAGGAGCUUCGGCGGCCCGGCCCCCUCCCGGGGCUCGCAUUCCCUGUCCUCGCAUGUCACCACGCGAUGACGCUGACACCCCAACCACACGCAGGUUUUGUCAAACACAGCGGAACCGGACACGACCUCCCCGAAGCUGCUCUGACUGUUGAGUCAAGCAGGCCCUCCCAUCUCCAAAUGUUAACUCGUCGUCCUCCAUGUCCCCAGAACUCGUGACAGUGGGAGAGCUCUGCAAAUGUGGGUCACCGAUCACACCCAGAGCUGUCUCAGAAAAAUGCAAAGGAGGAUGGCCAACGGGGAAUUGAAGAGACGGCGGCAAGUGGCAAUCAAGGUGGGGGCCUGCGCACCCAGAGGCACCUCACGGUGCAAAGGCACCUGGGUGGGGCCACGGGGGACCUCAGUGUGGGCUCCCAAGUUCAGCCCACCUAAAAGGAGUUUGGAAAUCUCUUCUAGGUUGAAAAAAGAAAGGGGGAGGGGGAAGCUUGAGGAAGUAAACAAGAAGCAACAAUAUCAUCCAUCUGUCCCAAGACGUGGCACCCAAGGCUGGCCCUCCCCUCCUGGAAAACUUGCCUUCUUCUUAAACUUGGACUCCAGAGAUUAGAUAAGACCUUCCUAAAGCUGCCAUGUUCCUGAGCAAGCACUCUCGCUUGGAAAUUCUUCCCCUGGCCCAUGAUGGUCCUCAGCCCUGCACUCCAGACUCCGCCGGGAGCUUUGUGAUAAUACUGAUGGCCAGGUCCAAGCUCAGCCCAAGUCAGACGUCUGAGGGGUAAGACUGCAGCUGCACUAUUUUUCUCCAGCUGUCUUCAGCAGCCCAACUUGAAUUCCUCCUUGUUUCCUCCUCACAGGGGCUCAGAGCAGUCACUUAGGCCCUUCACAUCCCAGGGCUCCGCCUCCCUGCCCUUCACAGGGGCUCCCAGCCACAGGUGACGGCUGAGGCCUGGACAUGUGUACGUCCAAAUGGAAAUGCACAGAAGGCAGAACAUGUUCACAGGGCACCUAAGAUUUAGUACAGACCUAAAUAAAAAAAAAAAAAAAAAAAGAGGAAAAGAAGGUAAAGUAGAGCACCUACAGAAUGGGAGCAAAGUUUUACCACAUGUACUUCAGAUAGAACAUUAAUCUCUAGGAUCUAUAAAGAACUCAAAAAACUUAACACCAAGAAAAACCAAAUAAUGCGAUCAAUAAAUGGGCCAAGGAACUGAACAGACACUUCUCAGAAGGUGAUAUGCAAUCAACCAACAAAUAUAUGAAAAAAUGUUCACCAUCUCUAGCAAUUAGAGAAAUGCAAAUCAAAACUACUCUAAGAUUCCAUCUCACUCCAGUCAGAAUGGCAGCUAUUAUGAAGACAAAACAGAAAUGUUGGCGAGGAUGUGGGGGGAAAGGCACACUCAUACAUUGCUGGUGGGACUGCAAAUUGGUGCAGCCAAUAUAGAAAGCAGUAUGGAGAUUCCUUGGAAAUCUGAGAAUGGAACCACCAUUCGACCCAGCUAUCCCGCUCCUUGGUCUAUACCCAAAGGACUUAAAACCAGCACACUACAGGGACACAGCCACAUCAAUGUUUUUAGCAGCACAAUUCACAACAGCUAAACUGUGGAACCAACCUAGCUGCCCUUCAUUAGAUGAAGGGAUAGGGAAACCUUGGUAUAUAUACACAAUGGAAUAUUAUUCAGCAUUAAAGAGAAUAAAAUCAUGGCCUUUGCAAGUAAAUGGAUGGAGUUGGAGAAUAUAAUGCUAAGUAAACCAAUCCCAAAAAACCAAAUGCCUAAUGUUUUCUUUGAUAUGAGGAUGCUGACUCAUAAUGGCGAAGGUGGG
rnacentral:lncRNA from 1 species